rnacentral:rRNA from 1 species
UACAGAGGGGGCAAGCGUUGUUCGGAAUUACUGGGCGUAAAGGGCGCGUAGGCGGCCUUCUAAGUCGAACGUGAAAUCCCCGGGCUCAACCCGGGAACUGCGUCCGAUACUGGAAGGCUUGAAUCCGGGAGAGGGAUGCGGAAUUCCAGGUGUAGCGGUGAAAUGCGCAGAUAUCAGGAGGAACACCGAUGGCGAAGGCAGGUCUCUGGGCAUUAACUGACGCUGAGGAGCGAAAGCAUGGGGAGCGAACAGG